rnacentral:rRNA from 1 species
GUCGCAGUUAAAAAGCUCGUAGUCGGAUUUCGGGGCGGGGCGACCGGUCUGCCGAUGGGUAUGCACUGGUCGGCGCGUCCUUCCUUCCGGAGACCGUGCCUACUCUUAACUGAGCGGGGGCGGGAGACGGAUCGUUUACUUUGAAAAAAUCAGAGUGUUUCAAGCAGGCGUCUCGCCUUUGCAUGGAUUAGCAUGGGAUAAUGAAAUAGGACUUUGGUGCUAUUUUGUUGGUUUCGAACACCGAAGUAAUGAUUAACAGGGACAGUCAGGGGCACUCGUAUUCCGUCGAGAGAGGUGAAAUUCUCAGACCAAUGGAAGACGAACAACUGCGAAAGCAUUUGCCAGGGAUGUUUUCACUGAUCAAGAACGAAAGUUAGGGGAUCGAAGAC